GCAAGUAUGUACUUGGACUGGCCUCACUGCCAGGAGGAAAAGUGUAGACAAAGCCUCAGAUUGACACGUGCAGCAGCCAGUUUCAUACACAGCAACCUUCCCUUCCGAGGCUUUCCUGCCUUGUGUUCUUUGAAGAAGGUGUUUCAGAAGGGUGAAGCUCAGUGCUGGGGAACACUAAUGGAAAUCAGUACUUUAUGGUCUUCUUGGCUUGCUCUUGGGAUCUGUGACUUAGUGUGCUCCAUCAGGUAUGAACUAAAGAUGUCAGACUCCUGUUUGUGGUCCAGAAGAUACUCUAGAGCAGUGGUUCUCAACCUGUGGGUCACAACCACACUGAUGGUCUAAUGACCUUUUCACAGAGGUUGCCUGAGACCAUUGGAAACCAUAAAUAUUUACAUUACAAUUUAUAAUAGUAGCAAAACUACAGUUAUCAAGUAGCAAUGAAAAUAAUCUUAUGGCCGUGGGUCACCAUAACAUGAGGGACUGUAUUAAAGGGUUGCAGUAUUAGUUUGAAGAUGUGUGCUUUAGAGUGUCAGGAGGUCUGAGGUAAGAUCUGGGUGGGAUUUCUCACAGGUUGUGUGUAUACUUUGGCAUGGUGUACUAUUCUUGGUGAGUGGGUAAUGAAGGGCUCUUAGACAGACAGCUUCCGUGACCAAGUUAUUCAAGCAGGCUACUUUUCUGACUUUCCUCAGCCUGAGACCCAGUCCUAAGGUAAUGUCGGCAGUCAUGCCAACUGCUGGCUUGUCAAUGGCAAGUGGAUAGAGAGGUAUUUUCCAUGAAGGUGCCAAUAAGACUUGUGGAGAAAGCUUUGAGAGAAAGAACCAUCAAUGGCUACCUGACAGGAAGCCAGAGUAGCAGAGCAAGUGAUGUUGUCAAGAGACGGGAAGCCAGAGGAGCACAGAUUCUUCUAUAAAGUCCCUGAUUCAUUGCUGAUUUCCAAAGCUGCUAAUCUCUGCUCUGAUCUAGUUAAAAUUCCCUACUUCAGGGGCCACAGAGACGGCUCAACGAUUAAAAGCACUUGCUGUUCCAGCAGAGGACUGGGGUUUGGUUCUUAGAAUUCACAUGGCAGUUCACAACCAUCCAUGACUAUAAUCAGAGGGGAACCAGUGCCCUCUUCUGACCUCUACAGACUUCAGGCAUGCUCAUGGUGCACAUUUAUACAUGAAAGCAAGCAUACACAUAAAAUAAAAAUAAAUCUUGAAAAAGAAACCUCCACCUGUCUGGGGUAUCUCAGCACUAUUUUUGUGUGGCCAGCUCUGGACUUCACCGUUUUGACCCUGAGGUGGUUCUCUUGCUGCUUCUGUACUUGCUGAAAGGUUCUGUGUCCUCAACUUUUGCUUGUAUAUUGUCGAGGAGCUUUGCAUUUGGCUAUUAUCUGUCUACUUUGGUUUUGGACAUCCCUGCUGGCUAGGGAGUUAUCCAAAUGUGCCACACUAGAAGGCUCUGUGUUCCCACGAUGAAUGCCUGUACACUAGUAAUCUAACCACAGGAGACUAAGCCUACAUGACGGUCUUCCUUUGGCAGACAUAUACACCAUGCUUAGGAAGCAUGCCUUCCAUUACUCCUUGACUUAGUCCCUCUAGGGUCAUCUGGGAAGAUGUGAUUCUGUCUCACAGGGCUUCCUCCCAUUGUGCUUACAUGGCCAUGACUCAAGGAACUUUUACAAGGAAAUGGUGGGGACUUCUGUCUCUCUGGUACAUGGGACAGACCUUUGUUUUGUUAGGGAUUCUAAGAGGAUCUUCUCUCAACUCUAAAUUGGCUCUAAAGAUCAUCGUGUUCUUUGAGGUCAGAGUUAUUCUAGGUAAUUGGAGAAAUGUUUGUUCAGGACAUGUUCUGAAUACUGGUGAGUGCAGACAGAGUGCAGACAUGUGCUGGGGAUGAGGGGUAUCACUAAAGGAGUGCCUGGACUCUGUGGGGGCUUCUCAGGCAUCCGAUAUAAUGUGCCAUUUUUGCUACUCUUUAAGCUCCAGGUGGACCAUACUACCAGCCACACCCAGGUUCCCUCAGAUCCACGGACACACACACACACACACACACACACACACACACACACACACACUCACACAAUUAUUUUUCAAACUGCCUGAUUGGGUCAAUUGCUGGACUCUUCUAAGUGUUCUUCUGCUAUCUCCUGCUCUUCUUUUCACUCCCAGCUCAGCACCCUAAAUCUACCCUCAGCUUGACUAUAUUUCUAAUAUUUUGCCUGCUGCCCCAGGCUCAGGUGGGGAAAUGGCCAAUGGCCACUCCACCCUAGAACUCACAUGACUGGUCACUUUUUCUCCCUUCAAAGCAUGGUGAAAUCCUUUUUCUCUUCCUGCUUCCCUUAGUCUCCUGUGGGGACCUGAAGUCUUGCCUUUUUCUUUCCACCCAGCGAUUGGUUCCUGGCAUCUCGAUUGAUUGAUCAAGAACCAAUAGGGAAACAGGACCUUAGCAUCAGAACCACCUGCUGCAACCCGAGGUCCUGUUGUUUAGUUGUUUUUCUUGUUGUUACCAAAUCCCUGAGAAGAACAACUUAAGGCAUGAAAGGCUUAUUUUCACCUACAGUGUAAGACACUAUGCAGUCUGUCAUGGUGAGGAAGUCAUGUGCAGCAGAUGUGUAAGGCAUAUGGUCCCAUGCGUACAGUCAGUGAGAAGAAAAAGGACACUGACUUGGGCUGAGCUAUAAAUCAUCAAGGCUUACCACAGUGCCUCACUUGUCUUCACUAAGGCUCCAUGUUUGCAAGCAUCUACAACUUCCCCAAACCAGUGUUUCCAGCUAAGGAUGGGAAUUCUUCAGACACUUGAGCCUAUGGGGCUAUGUUUCCCAUUCAAACUACACCUUUCUAGACAGAAGAAAGCCUUUGUUCAAGGAUGAGGUCUCCUAAGCCAUGGGGCUAUGCCUGAGUACCAGUGGUGUGCCUGAGUUGUGGGCAGCAUCUUGAUCAGCUCUGGGCUAAAGAACUCAGGGCACCCAGUUGCCUGUGUUUCAUUAUAGAACCUGAUGCACUGGGUUUUGUGACCUCUGCCUUUGGCAUUCCCAUGUCCCUGUGUUUGGCAUAGAAUGAUGCAGGGCAGGCAAGGGAGAAACUCAGUGAUACUCUGAGGUCAUGCUUUCAUCCCAGUCUCUUGUUAUGAUCUUAAUCUUCCUUUCCUUCUGGUUUCUAAGAUGCUCCCUUGAGAGCUGUCUCAGAGUAGGCAGUGUUAUUUAUUAUAUUGAUCACCCAUAACAUCCCCCCAAGGCUCAAUGUAGAGGGAAGUGACUGGUCCUAAUGGCACAAUUAGCUUUAUUAUCUUCUGGCUUCUGAUGUAAUGUUUCUGUCGCAGCCUUUGCAGCAAAGGGGAUGAGCCAGGAUGGGAAAUCUGGCGUCAAGAUUGUAAGUCUUGCCGAGUUACUAGUGCUUCAAGUGACCUUGGAUAAUGUUCUCUUUCCUUUUGAUGGCAAUAUUUUAAUUACAAAAAUAUAAAAAGCAUUGAUUGGGUCUGAGACAGUAUACUAAAUCCUCUGUUGAGUUAUCUUGUUGAAACCUCCCAGCAAACCUACAAAGCAUCUAUUGUUUUUUGAUUAUUUAUUUCACUUUAUGUGUAUGAGUGUUUUGUUAACAGUGUGUGUGUGUGUGUGUGUGUGUGUGUGUGUGUAUGUGUGUGUGUGUGUGUGUGUGUGUGUGUGCAUGCACACACACACAUGCACAUGUACUUGUGUGUCUGGUACCUGCAGAGGUCAAAAUGAGGUAUCAGAGUCUCUGGAACUGAAGCUACAGGUUGGUGUCAGUUACUAUAUAUAGGGCCUGGGAACAGAACUUGAACUCCCAAAAGAGAAACAAGUGCUUUUGAUUGCUGAACCAUCUCCCAAGUCCUUCAAAUAAGGACUAUUCUUAAGGCAUCUUCUAUAAGUAACACUCAGAGAGGGUGAGUAACAUGGCUGAUGUCUUGUAGAUAGGGGUGUUAGGCUGGGUUUAAACUUUGGGUACAUGAAUUUAAAGCCAGCAAUAGGAAGCUUUCCACUACCCUGUCUCUUCAACUACUUAAAGGACAGUGAUUCUCAACCUUCUCAAUGCUGUGACUCUUUAAUAUAGUUCCUUAUGUUGUGGUGACCUCCAGCCAUAUUGUAAUUUUGCUACAUUACAUCAUAAUAUAAAUAUCUGUGUUUUUCGGUGAUCUUUAGGUGACCCUUGUGAAAGGCCAUUAAGCACCCUCCCCCAAGAGAGCACAACUCACAGGUUGACUCUGAAGUGCCACUGGAAGUCAGGAACAUGCGUCAAUCCCAGUGCCAUCCCAGCAGCCCCUGUGCUUGCAUCAGGAUAUGUAAGCAUUGCUGUAGCUUUCCUGCUUGGCUCCUCAGAGCAAAUGACUUUACAACAUGUUUCCUGGAAAUCAGACCCAUGUAUACUAAUAUUGUAUUUACAUUCAUAUUCAUUAAUAGACAUAAUCUUUACAUAUAUAAAUACUUGUGUAUAUAUUUAUCUUAUGUAUUUUUAUAAGACUGUUUUCCCCUGGUCACAUAGCUCACUUUUCCAUUCUUUUUGGUUACAACUGAUCCUACAGGAAGAGUCACAUGGACCUGCUUGCUGAAAGCCUGGCUAGAGAUGGAAGUGGAGUCUGUUUGUAGUCAGGACCACAUCAGUCAAGAGGCACCACAUACAAUCCACAGAAGGCCAACUUCUCAACCAGAAGAGUCAGAAGUGCCUCUGGUGAUUGGUAGUGCCAAUCUGACACUACUACUCUGACAGUGCCAGAUCUGGAGCUCAGGGCUCUCGGGGGAGCAGGCAGGCACUUUAUCCCAGGUCCCUGGUGGCUGGGGGUAGGGGGCGGGUGACACGUGACACCGAUGGCUGCCAGGUGCACUCUAAUGAUUGUUUUCACUGAAGAAUUUUGGACUCCAUGCCAUACAAUUUUCAUCCUUUUUGCAAAAUGGAUGAUAAUUUGGGUCUGUCUUGACUGCUGGUUUUGCAUUGCUAAUAUUGGUGGGAGGAGGGUUUUGCCUAAGUUCUCUUAAAAAUAUGAGAAUUUCAGUCCAAAAUAUGUGAAUUUUUAAUUGCGAUCUUGGCAGCCUGGGGUGGGCUUUGCGUGAGCAUCUGCCCCUUCCUCCUUGUCCCUCUGCAGCCUCUGCCUUGCCUCUCCUUCCCUCUCUAGCCUUCACCUGGGUUAGGGAUGCCCCCUCUCUCCCACUCUUCCUCAUUCCCUGCAGUGCGUUUCCCUCAGCAGCAGGACCGGGCCCUGGUUUCUGCCCCAGGGUGGGGUCAGCAGCUGUGCAUUCCCAGGGUUUCCAUUACAAAUGUUAUUUUCCAGGGGCUUCUAACCAAGUCAUACACAUUUGUGUGGGCUUGGAACCCAGCCUUCUGGGCAAGGUCUCAGACUGCAUGCACAGCCUCGCGGUUCUGUGCAAAAUCUCAUUACUGUCACUUCGACCAUUUUCCUGGUUGAGAAACUAGCUGGUGCAUGCUUUCAAAGGCUGUUUAUACCUCGAGAGCUUGCAAGACAGGGGUAGCAACUGUUAAAGAAACAGGGUCCUGCACCCUGCCCAGCCUACCAGUGAUCAAACACCACAUGUGCUGGGAUCGUCCAGAAGCCUCCAAAUAUACCUUAUUUCCCAAGCUCCUUAGCUUUACACAGCAACAUGGUCUGACAUUUAAAAUUAAUCUAUGUGGUAAAGUUAUUAGCAUUCGAAUGUUAGCACUGGAAUAUCCACAGUGACCUCUCCUCCCGGGCUGGUGUUUGUUUGAUGAGGAUUCCCAGGCUGUGUCAGGGCUGAAAGCAACACAGUCCCACAUACUUUUUAUUAAUUCCAGUACUAGGCCUCACCUUGGGAGAUCUCCAAGUGCUCUGUAGGGGAGCUCUGAUUUCUCCAGGCAAUAGCUGGAGGAACCACAAGCCAGCUAUUGCAAAUGCCAAAUAGGCUUCUCUUGUCCAGAGAGACAAUGAAGACCCAGAGAGGAGCCAGCAGGAUGUUUAAUAGCUGCUGGGAGCCAUUGUUCUGGGGCUGAAGCAAGCACCUAAAUGACCAUGGUUGUCAGGCAUAAUCUCAUACCCACACAUUUAUGAGUGUCUGUGCUCUUUCAUGUCAUGCCCGUGGCCUUCUCCUAGUCACAAUCAGUCUAACGAAAGGGACCAGAGGAAAGGCUGAUUCAUCUGACCAUGCCUGUCCUUAUUAUGGUAUAAAGUACACACAUGUUAGCUUCUGGGCAACUAUGGAUGAGCUCAGGCGAUAGACUAAAGGGAGCAUACUUACUAACCCCUUCAGUAGGUAAAACAUGAAGUAGGAAAGACAAUCCAUCAAGUGGAACAGCACAAUAAAACAGAAUAUUGAGGGGAUUUUAAAGAAAUAGCAGACUGUGAUUUAGCUGGGGAAGGAAGAACUGGAAGGAUGGAGGUGGGGAGAGCUCUGCAAACACUAAUUCACAGGGGACUAGACUAUCAGUCCACAAUGGACAGUCUGGGUGGAGGGCUUUUUAAAGCAUGCUUUGCAAUCAGGUGUCACAAUGUCAGGUUCAGAGGGCUAAGGUGACAUCUGAUUGGAGGAUGUAUUAAGGAGAAGAACAGUAUGACUUCUUGCUUGCUUCUGUUAUUAAGCAGAUCAGCCACCUCAUCAUCCCCCUGCUUCUGCCACCCAGAGUCCUCGACCAUUCUCACCUGUCUGCCCAAUACAUUAGACUUCUCUGGGGUUCAUCUUCUGAUAAAUCCUCACCUUGCUUUGUCUUCUCUGUGGUGACCGCACCCAUAUUCACACUCCCAUCUGCUCUCCUGUGCAGCUGACAUGAGAAUCCCACUCCUGCCUGUGCCACCCUCUGAGCACUAGUCUGUGUAUAUGUACCUGUCCUAUUUCCUCAAGAACCUUAAGAAGGUAGAGUUUCCAUCUGUGAGCCACCUUGGAGACUCCAACUCACUGUAGUCUGUCUCUCUUCUGUUCUCUCUAGCUUGCUGAGUCUCCAAGGAUUUUUCUCUGUGGAUUCUUGUUGAUACCUCGUAUAGUUCUGUUCCUACCCCUUUCUUCCUAAUUUCCCAUCUUUCCCUUAAAAAAGAGUUGAGGCCUGUUGGGAGAGCUGAGAUGAGAAGAACCCCUCCUGGGACUGUAGACAUUGGCUGGGAGUAAGCCUGAAACAGGUGACCCCCACAUGGGGCCAUGUGGGCAGGUCUAGACCAAGAGCAAGCCAAAGAUGACCACCAGUCUAGUGCUGGGGGCCCAGAGAGGGAGCUAGCCUGAAAUGACCACCAGUCUGGGCCACAUAGACCUUAGGUUGAGUGGGUGGGGGCAGACCAUGCCUGAAAUGACCCUAGCCUGAUGCCUCAAUGUAAAGAUGGGACAUAGCACUUCUGAAAUGACCCCACAGACCGUGGGUACCACUAAGAGGAGCAAAUAAGUGGUGGA